rnacentral:lncRNA from 1 species
AUGUACGCACUUAUUAAUUAUAUUUCUAUCUUCUUUCGCAGGCGUUUAAUCCACGAUAUUCUCUCAAAAAUGGACAAAAAAGCGAAACUCAAAGAAGGCUUUGAUGGACGAUUAAGUUUAUAUUCGGCGCACAGUAGCACAGUGCAAAGUCUAUGGAGAGGGCUGAACGUCAGUCAAGAUAUGCCAAGGCCUGAUUACGGGGCAGCAAUUAUCGUAGAGCUCCAUGAAAUUAAAGAUAAGUUUAGAGUAAAGAUUGCCGUUGUCUUGGCCUUGUGCGCCGUCUUCGCCUACGGAGAGGAGUCCACCGAGCUGAGCCGUGAAAAGCGUUACGCCGUUGCCACCGCCGCCGCCUUUGCUCCGGCACCCGCCUUCGCCCCGGCACCCGUCUUCGCCCCGGCACCCGCCUUUGCUCCAGCACCCGCCUUCGCCCCAGCACCCGCCUUUGCUCCAGCCUACGCCCCCGCCUAUGUUCAUCACGCCUUCGCCCCAGCCCCCGCCUUCAACCCGGCACCCGCCUUCGCCCCGGCACCCGCCUUCGCCCGAGCCCCCGCCUUGCCCCGGUUCCCGCCUUCGCCCCCGUGGCUGCCCCCCGCAGUAAGGUCGUUCACUCCGUGCCCGGCGCCCACGCCGAAUACGUUUCCUUCGCCUAAGGGAUUCACUUAAAUUGAGUGGUCUGCAUUUUUAAGGGGGCAUUUAAGGGAUUGAGACCAUUUAUUGGCACUUCAAAGUUCCGUGAUUGGGUCACAAGGUAUUAUUACGAUGAAACUGAAGUCAUCGCAAAAAAAGGGCUUUAAAUAUUUCUAGUUUCGUGUAAUUUGACGAGUUUUGAAUCAAAUUCCUUCGGUCUCUCUUAAAUCGACUUUUCAAGGUGUCAAAAUUUGUUCAUUGUCUGUUGAGGUUUCAGUUUUGCUUGGUUUUCAGAAAUUGGCUUUAUUUACGUGUGUUUUAGCUGUAUUUUAGAAAUUGUCUCGAAAUGAAAAUGAGACGUUAAAAAACAGCUUAUCCGCUACAGAGGAGGAUCCAGCAAUGUGGCAACAUCGAAUUGCCUCCAUUUAAACCUUUUCUAAAUACUCGAUUCUUGUCGAAGCACCUAGCCCCUCCAAGAAAUAGAUACGCUUCCAUUGAUUUAAAUGGAGAGAAGACAAUUUUGCCAAUUUGCUGGGUCCGCCAAUCCGCUGAGACCAGUACUUCUCCAAAAAUCAUUGAUUAGCACAAUGGUCACUAUUUUCAACCUGAGAGUUUCAUCAACAUUUAUAAACUAAAGUGAUUUCUAAACAUAAAUCAUUCAUUGACUAUCCAGUUUUGCCGGAACUUUUUGAUAUAAAAGUAUGGUUUUAAGGUCAUUUUUGAGAUUACUCAGAGGCUUAUAUGUACAUGACUUGGAUUGCAUUUUGCAAAAAGGAACCACUAGCAUUGCAAUGUUGCUAAGAUUGUGCAACUUCUUUUGUCUUGGAGGAAAUACCCGAUUAUCCAUUAAUAGUUUCCAUUUUACUCGCUAAAAACUGAAAAUUUAAGACAAAAAUUACCAUCUAAAUUUCAUAGUUUCUCACGAUUUCCGCUAUUUUAUUGCAGAGGAUAAAGUUGCACAAUCUUAGCAUCAUUGCAAUGCUAGUGGUUCCUUUUGCAAAAUGCAAUCCACUUGUGUUACAGCUGCAAAAACUGAAAUUCACUGUACAAAAAGAAAUAUUAUUUCAUCUUGCCAACAAAGACAUCAUUCUCACCGGCAAAUAUAAUGGCCCCAAAGAGAACACUCAUUUUUUGUACUUAAAACGUAUUACUUAAACUUUGAAAAUUCAUUGUUUUCUAAUAUCGCCUGUGAUUUAAUACGAAGUUAUAUUUAUUGUACACAUAGUUUUUUUUUAACAUAUGUUACCCUGUCAGUAGAAGUAUUUUUUGUUGAAAUAAACAUGUUUUCAGUUUUCCAUAAGAGCAACGUUUUUUUUUCUUGAUCUAUAGGUCUUGAACUUUGUAAAGGUACCUUUCGUCCUUGUUUUAAAACAAGCUAUACUUACAAUACUUACAUACAUUCCUUUGAACUUUAUUUUUUGCCCACAGAGACGCUAAAUUAUUGUAUUUUCUUCUUCUUCAAAGGUGCAGUCAUUAAUUUUUGGUUUUGACGGAUUGGUCUUU